rnacentral:tRNA from 1 species
GCCCAGCUAGCUCAGUCGGUAGAUCAUGAGACUCUUAAUCUCAGGGUUGUGGGUUCGAGCCCCGCGUUGGGCG